GACGAACGCUGGCGGCGUGCUUAACACAUGCAAGUCGAACGGAAAGGCCCUGCUUUUGUGGGAUGCUCGAGUGGCGAACGGGUGAGUAACACGUGAGUAACCUGCCCUUGACUUUGGGAUAACUUCAGGAAACUGGGGCUAAUACCGGAUAGGAGCUCCUGCUGCAUGGUGGGGGUUGGAAAGAUUCGGCGGUUGGGGAUGGACUCGCGGCUUAUCAGCUUGUUGGUGGGGUAGUGGUUUACCAAGGCUUUGACGGGUAGCCGGCCUGAGAGGGUGACUGGCCAAAUUGGGAAUGACAUACGGCCCAGAGUCCUACGGGAGGCAGCAGUGGGGAAUAUCGUACGAUGGGCGGAAGCCGGAUGCAGCAACGCCGCGUGCGGGAUGAUGGCCUUCGGGUUGUAAACCGCUUUGGCCGGUGACGAAGCGUGAGUGACGGUAAUGGGUAAAGAAGCACCGGCUAACUACGUG
rnacentral:rRNA from 1 species